AAAUUGAAGAGUUUGAUCAUGGCUCAGAUUGAACGCUGGCGGCAGGCCUAACACAUGCAAGUCGAACGGUAACAGGAAGCAGCUUGCUGCUUCGCUGACGAGUGGCGGACGGGUGAGUAAUGUCUGGGAAACUGCCUGAUGGAGGGGGAUAACUACUGGAAACGGUAGCUAAUACCGCAUAAUGUCGCAAGACCAAAGAGGGGGCCCUUCGGGCCUCUUGCCAUCGGAUGUGCCCAGAUGGGAUUAGCUUGUUGGUGGGGUAACGGCUCACCAAGGCGACGAUCCCUAGCUGGUCUGAGAGGAUGACCAGCCACACUGGAACUGAGACACGGUCCAGACUCCUACGGGA
rnacentral:rRNA from 1 species